GAGAAGAACCCAUAAAUUAUAGUGGAAACGAUACAGAGAAGAUUAGCAUCACUCAUGCGCAAGGAUGACACACACAAAUCGAGAAAGAGAAGUAGUUACU